GAGAUAAUAGUAUAAUUUGUAUAUUUUAUUUUCAAUAAAAUGGUUUUGAAUAUCU
rnacentral:tRNA from 1 species